UACGGGGGGAGCAAGCGUUGUUCGGAUUUACUGGGCGUAAAGGGCGCGUAGGCGGUCACGACAAGUCAGUUGUGAAAUCUCCGGGCUUAACUCGGAACGGUCAACUGAUACUGUCGUGCUAGAGUACAGAAGGGGCAACUGGAAUUCUCGGUGUAGCGGUGAAAUGCGUAGAUAUCGAGAGGAACACCUGCGGCGAAGGCGGGUUGCUGGGCUGAUACUGACGCUGAGGCGCGAAAGCUAGGGGAGCGAACGGG
rnacentral:rRNA from 1 species